CUAGCUAUCUAUGAAGUGCUUUCUUCCAGUACGAAAGGAUCGAAGAAAAAAGGCCCAUGCUCAACAGCACGCCUUGCCCCUCCUUAUGAAAUCAACUUAAUUAGGCGAAAGGCACACCACCCCCGCCAAAGAUAACAGCU
rnacentral:rRNA from 1 species